rnacentral:rRNA from 1 species
UACGUAGGGUGCAAGCGUUAAUCGGAAUUACUGGGCGUAAAGCGUGCGCAGGCGGUUCUAUAAGACAGAUGUGAAGUCCCCGGGCUCAACCUGGGAACUGCAUUUGUGACUGUAGAGCUGGAGUACGGUAGAGGGGGAUGGAAUUCCGCGUGUAGCAGUGAAAUGCGUAGAUAUGCGGAGGAACACCGAUGGCGAAGGCAAUCCCCUGGACCUGUACUGACGCUCAUGCACGAAAGCGUGGGGAGCAAACAGG